CCAAAAACGGUUCAUCCUUUAAAGGCCAAAUGUUAAUGUGUUACCUUUAUCCUUUGCCAGGCAUCAUGGACUUUGCUGAAUUUUUCCAGUUGUAAAAUUUUAUAAUCUAAGUAAUUAGGAAUAUGCUCCCAAUUAAUAUUAAUGACUCUUAAAGUGCCAGCAGUCGCGGUCAUACUUUAAUUAUAAAUAAAGCUCAUCAGGACACGCACAAGUAACUAAUCUUCUUAUAGUGAAAUAUAGAAUUUCUUCUUCUCUACUUUAAAUAUGAUAAAUACUGAUUACAAACAGGGAUUAGAUACCCCUUUAUGCAGUACGCAUUCCUCAUCCUGGGCACUACAAUCACCAGAUUAAAACCCAACUAACAUGGCGGUAGUUUAAAUUUUUAGGGGAACUUACUAAGUAAAUGAUAACCACCAAGAAAAUUAACGUUAAGUAAUAUUUUAUAUACCGUCGUCGUCAGAUAUCCUAUAAUAGGAUAUCAAACUCUCGCAAAAGAAAAAGACAGAUCAAGGUGUAGACAAUCUUAACGUUUCAGCGAGUUACAAUAUUUUUUAUUUUCGUAAAAUAGUUAUAUUACUAUAUAUCGUCGGACUUAAUAGUAAUACUUAUAAAGUAUGUAGUAUGAAUAAUUUUAAACUGUGU
rnacentral:rRNA from 1 species